UUAGUGGAAGUCAAAUGAUAAAGUGAAUGCAAUAUCGUUUUUAUUAAAUUAAACAAAACCAGCAUUGUUCAGGAAGUUAAUAAUAUGUAGUAAGAUUAUUAAAUAACUUACAAAAUUGUCAAUUGUCAGCAGUUAAAUAGUAUACAACCUUACGACAUUUGGACGAUAUUUAUCUAAAAUGAUAUGCCAUGCGUCGAGUCAUCGAGCAUCAACAAUAUAAUUAUUCGUUAUGCUGAAAAUUUAGGCGGGAAUUUCCGGUUUCGGUCGUUUC